rnacentral:tRNA from 1 species
GCCUGGGUGGCUCAGUUGGUUAAGCAUCUGACUUUGGCUCAGGUCAUGAUCUCACAGUUUGUGAGUUUGAGCCCCAUGUCAGGCU